rnacentral:rRNA from 1 species
UACGUAGGUGGCAAGCGUUAUCCGGAAUUAUUGGGCGUAAAGAGCGCGCAGGUGGUUAAUUAAGUCUGAUGUAAAAGCCCACGGCUUAACCGUGGAGGGUCAUUGGAAACUGGUUGACUUGAGUGCAGAAGAGGGAAGUGGAAUUCCAUGUGUAGCGGUGAAAUGCGUAGAGAUAUGGAGGAACACCAGUGGCGAAGGCGGCUUCCUGGUCUGCAACUGACACUGAGGCGCGAAAGCGUGGGGAGCAAACAGG